rnacentral:piRNA from 1 species
UGAAAAGUGAUAUGCAGAUGUUGUGUUCA